UUUUUUUUUUUUUUUUUUUGGUCAGCUUGAGAAUCAGACUGCUAGGGUUUGAGUCUCCUUAGCUUCUCUGAGCAUCAGUGGGUGUCCUCACAGGAUUGUUCUGAGAAUGUAAGCACCUGGUGGGAGUUAAACCAUGUUAUAAAAAGCAUUUCCAUUUUCUUUGAAAUGUUGGGAGGUGGAAGAAAUCUAUUAAACUCAACCUUGUCUGAGGAACGUGGAAAAAUCCUGAUUUGAAAACCAGUUUCUAAGGGCUCAGACUGGACUCAGACUCCAGGACACAAAUGCAGUGUCUGCUGCCUUCCAGCUAUUUGACCUUGGGUAGGACACUUAACCUGUGGGCCUCAACCUCAUGAGCAUGUCACAUUUCUUCAUGAGGGUUAAGUACGUUUAAUAGGCAUGUACAGUCCUUGAGACAGCUCUUUGUCAUAGGGAUUCAGUCUUCGGUGGUAUGAGUCUGGUGGUGAGGUGGUGGCAAUGGUUUUGCACUUAGAGCUAAUCUUAGUUCCUCAGUCCUACUGCCAGUCCCUUCAGUCCUGGUUUGAGUGGCUACAUUGGGAGUCCUGUUGGCUUUUAUCCCUUCCUUUGGAAUUUCUAAAUCAGUUGUGUCCAUGGCUUCCACCUAGUUGAUGCAAAGUCGGUACCACUUGAUCACCAGUUCCAGGACAUCGUUAACGCCUCAUUUCCUCAUUCAUGGAGUGAAUGAAUUCAGUGUGUUCCCUCAAAAGUCCUAUGGAAACCCUCCUUUCCCCAAUAUGAUGGUCUUGGGUGAUUUUCAUUAGAUAAGGUGAUGAAGAGUGGGUAGUGCCCUCACAAGUCCCAAGAAGGCUUUCCUCUGUUCUCAGCCACAUGAGGAUACAAGAAAUUGGUAGUUUGGAAAAGGGAUCUCCCUAGAGCUCAGCCCUGCUGGCACCUUGAUGGACUUCCAGGCUCCAGAACUGAGAAGUUGAUAAGCUGCCCACUCUGGUAUUUUUAGUUCCCUGAACUGAGAUUAUAGGUCUGUUGGAAGAGUUCCAGUAUUGGAGGUCUGCCUCCCUGGCUCCAGUUAGUUGGAAAGGCCCCAUAGACCCUUCUACCCAACCAGUCAUGAAUCUACUUUGGCAAGUGGAUGGAGGCUAGGGAACUUCUCACACCUCUUGAUUGGCUCACUGAACCAGGAAAAUAGGCCUUGUGGCUGCCACCACUGGUUGAUGUUGGGUACUUGGUAUGAGGAAGCAUUCUGAGCCUUUGGGGACCCAAGGCAGUGGGAGCUGGCAGGAAGAACGCCAUUCCUGCCUUGCAGGUAGGCCACAGUGAGGGGGCAUCUGCUGCCUGCCUGUCAGGAAGUGAAAUGUCAUCCUGGCUUUAGGCAAGAUUGCAUAAUCAACUGUGAAAUUCCUGCAACAAAGUGAUUCCUAAGUGACAUCAACAAAGACUACAGCCUCUUACACCUGUUCUGCUCUCCUGAUGUAGAAAGUUUCUUGUAGGGACACCUGGGUGGCUCAGCAGUUGAGCAUCUGACUGGCUCAGAGUGUGAUCCUGGGAUCCCCGGAUCGAGUCCCACAUCGGGCUCCCUGCAUGGAGCCUGCUUCCCCCUCUGCCUGUCCUGCUUCUCCCUCUGCCUGUAUCUCUGCCUCUCUCUCGGUCUCGGUCUUGGGAUCUCAUGAAUAAAUAAAAUAUUUUUUAAAAAAAUAGACCAGGUCCUUGGUCUGCAAAUACUUGUAUUUUCAAGCCCUGUAUCUUUCCUAGACCAAAAACUUUGAUGCAAACCUUUUUUAGACCCCUUACCUCUGUCCAUUUCAAGAAUAAAUCCAAGGCCCUGCCCUUCCCACCUCAUGUGGGCUGCUUCACAGCCUAAUUCCUCUGCCUCAGGUUCAACAAGUGUAAGAUGUAAAUAACAGUGCCCUCAAGAUGGGCAUCUUAGGACAUGGCAAAUUACUGAUAGUGCACCCACACCCUUGUCCCAUGCACUCCUGGAUUUGGGGUUAUAUGAAACUUUCAAAAGGCUUUUCAAAAUAAGUUGCUGUGAAUAUUUAAGGUAUUGGGACACUUGGGUAGCUCAGCAGUUAGGCGCACCUGCCUUCAGCUCAGAGCAUGAUCCUGGAGUACCGGGGUCGAGUUCCACAUCAGGCUCCCUACUUGCAUCUGCCUCUGCCUAUGUCUGCCUCUCUGUGUCUCAUGAACAAAUAAGAUCUUUAAAAAAAUAUUUAAGGUAUUGGAAGAAGGCAUAUUGGGUAAUGAUCAGUAGCCAGUGUUCUACCACUUUGCUUCUCAGGAUGAAAUCUGUCCUCCAGCUGCAUUCUUCCACCUCCCCCACCUUUCCUCAGACUGAGAUAGAGGCCAUGAUCAUUUUUCUAAUUCAGAGUGCACAAAGACCUGAGAAACUAGAAGUGGGUUUUUUUUUCAAAUUUGAUACGAGACCUGACACGGAGCUUUUCAUAAUUUUUUGCUUGUUUUUAAGUCAUCUACACCUAAUGGGCUCAAACUCAACCCCAAGAUGGAGUCCUAUGCUCUUCGAGCCAAACACCCCAAAGCUUUUCAUAAUCUCUUUUUUUCCUCUUAGUAUGAAUAUGCAUAUAACAUACUACAGAAAAUGUUCGGUUAUAGAGCGCUGCCCCGGAGCCUGUUGAGCAGUCUUAACAGUGAAUGUACCAAGGAAGUUCAGCCUUAUAAAUUGUCCAAAACCGUCCAUGGCAUUCUGUAUAAACAUUCCUAGUACAACGUUGAGUCAAAUUUUUGGACUCAAUUUUAAGCCUAAGUGAAACUCUUCUUUGGAAUUUUCCUUUGUUUUUUCUAGUUUUUAGUAAUUAUCUGGACACAUGAUUUGUGGUCUGGGUUUUAACCCUUAUGAUUGUAAUCCAUAGUAACAGGUAUGUUUUUAUUCAUUGGAGUCCAGUCUACCCACUUGUCUCCAUAAGGGAAGAAAGGCUUAAUGAAAGAAAUGUGCCAAGUGCCCUGGUGUUUCCCACUUCGUUGUGUCUUAACAGCUGGCCCAAACCACUCCAAUGCUUGUGAAGCCCGCAGCUUAAAAAAAACAAACAAAAAAAAAAAA
rnacentral:lncRNA from 1 species